CGCGGGGCUCGAACUCACAGACCGCGAGAUCAUGACCUGAGCCGAAGUCGGACGCUUAACCGACUGAGCCACCCAGGCGCCCCUUGUCAUACAUUUGUGAUACAGUCAGUCGUUUGUCAUAGUCUUCAUUCCAGCCUCUUUGAUUUUUUGAAAUUUAUUUGCAUAUAUUGCAGUUCAUUCUGUGGGCUUUGGCAAGUGCGUAAGGUUGUGUGUCCACCACUGCCGGACCCUAUAGAAUAGUUGCAUUGCCUGCAGUUCCCCUGCGUGUCCCCCGUUGCAGCCAGUCCCUCCCUGCCCCACCAGUCCUGGCAGCCACCUGUCUGGUUUCUGUCUCUAUAGUUUUGCCUUUUCCAGAAUAACAUACGUAGCUCUUAGGUUCUGGCUCCUUUCACUGAGCAAUAUGCAUUUAAAAUCUAUCCACGUUGCUGCAUGGAUCAGUAGUCCGUUCCUUUUUAUCACUCAGUAGUAUUCCCUUGUGUACCUUCUGCCAUAUACAUUCCAUCGUACCACAGUUAGGGUAUCUUUUCCCAGUUGAAGGAUAUCUUGGGAUCUUGGUGUUUCCAGUUUUUAAUGAUUAUGAAUAAAGCUGUUGAAAACAUUCGUGGACAGGUUUUUGUGUGAACAUGUUUUCAGUUCACUUGUAUAAAUACCUAGGCGUGUGAAUGUGGAUUACAUGGUAAGACUAUGUUUAACUUGAUAAGAAACUGCCAAAUUAUCUUCUUU